GUAGUGCGCGGCAGAUGUGCGCUGAGCACAUGUCAGACAGGGAGAGAGACUGUUUGAAGACUUCCCGUGUGCAGCUGCCUUAUUUAACCUGGAUUUUCGCUGAAUAAGACAGUGACGCGGGCCGUGGCCGCCUGUGUGUGCUGGUGCAGACUUGGUGCCUGCCGGGAGGUGCCUGGGAGGCCCGGGAGCUGCUCAUGAGGGCCAGGAUGGCUCGUAAUAUUGCAGGAGGCCAUGUCAGAGGUGCCAGCGUGCGAGGAGAGGAGAAAGAGGAGGCGUAGAUAAGGAAGAAGAAGAAGAGGAUGCUUACUUUUGCCCUCCCUUUAACUGACAAGGGGACACUGAUGAAUUCCCACUUAUAGAUGAAACGCGGUACACUGCCAGAUUGGUCUCCCUCACGUCCUCUCCAGCCUUGACUUACCUCAGCAUCGUGUCCAGGUGACGCCCUCAGCCCGUCGCCAGCUGUACUUACCCAGGUAUUACUAGCGACCGUAUUCUGAAUCACCUCCUGCGCGUCCACUAAUUUCAAAAGGUUCUUGUUGAAAUGACCCGGGUUUUCAAGGAUGUUAUGUUUAUAGUGACUAACAAGAUUCAUACAUGACUGGAAGAAACGCAUUCGAGAACCCGGCUAGUCAUCUCUUUGGCCUUUGAAACUAGUGGAGAGCGCGAAGCAUGUCAGAAUACGGGCGCUGGCGUGACGUCAGAGGCACUUCUAAACCACCACGCAACACAAGACAGGACAUCCCCUGAGGGCCACCACACAAAGGACAACCACCACAAGCCCCAGUAACAACACUACUGCUACUACUACGGCUACUCUGGUCACUACAGCUACACAGGUGCCGUGACAGUCAACCCCACACAAGCACCAGAAGGAAGGAAGUUUGAGAGGAAUCCCGAAGUAACGAGGGAUUUGUAAUUUAAUCCCACACGGACUGAGAGCAUCCCGGAGUUGAGGGAUCUAUAGUGGGGUUAUUAGGUCUGGCUGAGGAGGGACGGGGGUUUUUCGUGAACGUUUGGUUAUGAACGCUGAAAGUAGCCAUUCUCUCAGCUGUGCAAUGACAUCCUAACGCUCCAGGAUCUUGAAGAAAACAAUUUUUUAAAACUUUUUGGUGUAAUUUCCAAAUGGUAAAAAAAUAAACUAUGUAUAAAUAUAUAAAAAAAAUAUAGAUAUAAAAGUGUUCUCUAAAUAAAAAAAAAGUUAUCACAGGUUGGAGAAAGGCAGUUGAUGUUUGGUAGAUGAGGUAGCGCCGGGGACCUGAGGAGAUAACACGUGCAUUAGUGCCUAGUCAGACACCUGCACACCAAUUAAUCAACAAACACUAAAUAACUCACUUCAAGAUAGGAACAAAAAUAUAAUGGAAUGUAGUAAUUAUUGUAUAACUCAUAACACAAGACAGUUAAUAAUAAUAGGAAGGUAGUAGUAGUAGUAGCUUUGAAUAAUAAUAAUAAUACAAGAAGCUCAAAGUGCACUCACACUAAGCGUGAACCUAGCAUCACUACACAAUGUGCUAACCACUCAAAAAAAGGAAAAAGUUAAAAAGGUAAUAGUUUGACAUUAAUAAAGAAGAUAAUAAUAAUAAUAA